UACGUAGGGUGCAAGCGUUAAUCGGAAUUACUGGGCGUAAAGCGUGCGCAGGCGGUUUUGUAAGGCAGAUGGGAAAGCCCCGGGCUUAACCUGGGAACUGCGUUUGAAACUACAAGGCUAGAGUGUGGCAGAGGGGGGUGGAAUUCCACGUGUAGCAGUGAAAUGCGUAGAGAUGUGGAGGAACACCGAUGGCGAAGGCAGCCCCCUGGGUUAACACUGACGCUCAGGCACGAAAGCGUGGGGAGCAAACAGG
rnacentral:rRNA from 1 species